UUGCUUUGAUAUUCCACUCCUCUAAUCACCUCUUGUGUGUGUCCACUUUGGUUGAGAGGGUUGUCUCAAUAGUACCAAAGUGUGAGGAAAGGUUUGUGAGCUCAACCAUAAAGCUCUGUUUGGUUUUAUAGAGUUUCCAGGAAAACUCUUAGGUGUGAGUCUACCUGUAAAAGACUGGUUCCUAAGCGAAGUAGCCUUAAAGCUUAGAGAGGUUCUUAAGAGUGCCCUGUAAUACUCUAAGGUGUGAGUCUACCCGUAAAAGACUGGUUCCUAAGCGUAGUAGCCUUAAAGCUUAGAGAGGUUUUUAAGAGUUCCUUGAAUACUCUAAGGUACUAACUUACCCGUAAAAGUUAGAGGUUCUUAAGAGUGCCCUGUAAUACUCUAAGGUGUGAGUCUACCCGUAAAAGACUGGUUCCUAACCGUAGUAGCCUUAAAGCUUAGAAAAGGUUUUGCCAUUACCUUUAGGCGAGUGAAAUCCGGCAGUUGGUCGGGACUGGACUAGCCCGUGUUUGGGUGAACCAGUAUAAAUCUCUUGUGUUGUUCUCUGUUAAUUUUAGUCUUAUCUUUCACUUAAAAAACAACACAUAAUUAAAAAGAUCCCUCUUCCAGUUAUCUGGUCAAGUACAGAGGUUGACUACUUUACGCAGAUCCCUCAUCCAGUUAUCUGGUCAACUAUCUGAGGUUAUAUUUAUUGCUUUAAAUUCUUAUAUUUCUUAUCAUAUUUAUCCAGUUAUCUGGUCAUUUACUUGUUUAUCAAAUUAUCCAGUUAUCUGGUCAGUUACUUGUUUAUCAAUAUAUCCAGUUAUCUGGUCAUUUACUUGCUUAUCUAUAUAUCCAGUUAUCUGGUCAUUUACUCUACAAUACAAUUUGUGUUUUCAAUAUAACUUAGUAUUCAUAUACUAUAGUUGUACUUGAAACAUUAUCAAGCAAGUUGACUCAGUAUUCAUUUACUGUAGUAAGCUUCAAAGAGUAAUACUUGCAAUACUAUAAAAUAAUAAUAUUCUUAUAUCAUUACUGUUCAACCAUUUGUUUGCUAAGUAUUUACAGGUAAUUCCGCUAUCAACCUGUCUAAAUCGAAAAGAGGCUAUCACCCCCCCUUAUAGCCUCGGAUCACGAUCCA
rnacentral:lncRNA from 1 species